AGCUGACUGAAUUGAAACUCUGGGAUUGGGUGUGGCAAGCUCAUGAUUCCCUCCAGGUGAUUCUGAUGUCUACUAAAGUUUGAGAAACAGUGUGUAGAUAAUAGGAAUUUGGGUUCUAUAGUCAGGCUUCCUUUUUGAGCAGGCAGCUUAAGCUCACUGCACCUGGUUUUCACAUCUGUAGAGUGGGAAUAACGAUAAUACUUAGAUUAUAAAGUUAGAGUAAUCCAUGUUGGCUAUUCUGUGCUGCUGGAGCUGGAUCAGGGAGUUGACCCUGAGAUUAUAGUGGGAGAAGCUGAGGUUCAAAUGCCAGGAGAGCAUGGGUAGGUGCUAAAUCUGGAGGUGUCGAAGAUAGGGAUAGAAGCAAGGUUUAUGAUAAGUGAGACAAGAGUGAGAGAAAGCAGUUUGGGAUCAGCUGGGGAAAGGGAGUGCCCUGAGAACUUGCCCUAGUGGGCCAGUGGGAGUUUGAGUUAUGAGAAGGAGUUAAUUUUAUGUCAUGAGCUGACUCAACACCUUCACCACUGCAUCCUAGAUGAAGACAGGUGGGGCUAACAGGAUGAAAUUCCAAGGGACCAAAGUCUGGAUAACUUCUUCCCCUGAGGCAGUAGAAGAAUCUGCUGAUGGAGAGACGGCAGAAUUGGAACCACAGGAGAGGAAGAUUAGCCCUGAGCUAACAUCUGCCAUCAAUCCUCCUCUUUUUGCUGAGGAAGACUGGCCCUGAGCUAACAUCCGUGCCCAUCUUCCUCUAUUUAUAUGUGGGGUGCCUGCCACAGCAUGGCUUGCCAAGCAGUGUGUAGGUCGACACCUGGGAUCUGAACCAGCGAACCCUGGGCUGCGAAGCGGAAAAUGCGAACUUAACUGCUGUGCCACUGGGCCGGUCCCUUUUUUAUGUUUCUAUAUUACUGCAUUGGACUGUUUCCACUUUCCUUCCUUCCCUUCCAUCCUUUCUUCCUUC
rnacentral:lncRNA from 1 species